GUGUCUGUAGUGUAAUGGCUAGCACGGUAGGUAAAUCCUACAAGUCUGAAGUUCGAUUCUCGGGAGACACG
rnacentral:tRNA from 1 species